ACCCGCUGAACUUAAGCAUAUCAAUAAGCGGAGGAAAAGAAACCAACAGGGAUUGCCCUAGUAACGGCGAGUGAAGCGGCAACAGCUCAAAUUUGAAAUCUGGCGUCUUUGGCGUCCGAGUUGUAAUUUGCAGAGGGCGCUUUGGCAUUGGCAGCGGUCCAAGUUCCUUGGAACAGGACGUCACAGAGGGUGAGAAUCCCGUACGUGGUCGCUAGCCUUUACCGUGUAAAGCCCCUUCGACGAGUCGAGUUGUUUGGGAAUGCAGCUCUAAAUGGGAGGUAAAUUUCUUCUAAAGCUAAAUACUGGCCAGAGACCGAUAGCGCACAAGUAGAGUGAUCGAAAGAUGAAAAGCACUUUGGAAAGAGAGUUAAAAAGCACGUGAAAUUGUUGAAAGGGAAGCGCUUGCAGCCAGACUUGCCUGUAGUUGCUCAUCCGGGUUUUUACCCGGUGCACUCUUCUAUAGGCCGGCCAGCAUCAGUUUGGGCGGUUGGAUAAAGGUCUCUGUCAUGUACCUCUCUUCGGGGAGAACUUAUAGGGGAGACGACAUGCAACCAGCCCGGACUGAGGUCCGCGCAUCUGCUAGGAUGCUGGCGUAAUGGCUGU
rnacentral:rRNA from 1 species